CUCUCGGCAACGGAUAUCUCGGCUCUCGCAUCGAUGAAGAACGUAGCGAAAUGCGAUACUUUGUGUGAAUUGCAGAAUCCCGUGAACCAUCGAGUUUUUGAACGCAAGUUGCGCCCGAAGCCAUUAGGUCGAGGGCACGCCUGCCUGGGUGUCUCAC
rnacentral:rRNA from 1 species